UUCAAGGACCCAUAUGUCUUCUGUUGGCAGUGGGUGUUUUACAGUGAAGCUCAUGAACACAUUUUGGGAUGAUUUACAAUGCAGCUUUAAGGGGCUUUGGGCUACAAAUCUCACUUCAGGGUGCAGAUUUUCCAGACCAGACGUGCUGUGUUCAGUGCAAGUCAAGGGAAGGGAGAGCAGAAGAGUAAUUUUAAGGCACCUUUACGCUUGCUUCAUCCUGAAGUUGCAAGCAAUAACCUGCAGCCUACUCUGAUUUACCCAGGUGCCAGCAGUCACCAGGAUUAAGGUGCUAAUCACACAGCUUUCCGAAUGGGAGAGAACUAGUAUAGCCUCUAGUAACUUGUGACAGAGCAAUGGAUUUAAUAACCUUGAAGAUGUCCCCAGGGUAUUAUGCAGCAGUGUUUGAAGCUUAGAAGAAAAAGACAUUUCAUUAUAUACAGAUGGUAGAAAAUCAAAUACAUGAAAGAAAUAUA